AACCGCCGUAUACGGAACCGUACGUACGGUGGUGUGAGAGGACGGCGGCUGCGAGGCCGCCUCCUACUCGAU
rfam:Azotobacter vinelandii DJ, complete genome.